UCCCCUUUAGUUCAGUGGCAGAACGCACGGCUGUUAACCGUGGUGUCGCUGGUUCGAAUCCAGCAGGGGGAG
rnacentral:tRNA from 1 species